GACGAACGCUGGCGGCGUGCUUAACACAUGCAAGUCGAGCGGUAAGGCCCUUUCGGGGGUACGACGAGCGGCGAACGGGUGAGUAACACGUGGGUGACCUGCCCUCAGCUCUGGGAUAAGCCUGGGAAACCGGGUACUAAUACCGGAUAUGACUCCAUGACGCAUGUUGUGGGGUGGAAAGCCUUGUGCGGCUGAGGAUGGGCCCGCGGCCUAUCAGCUUGUUGGUGGGGUGAUGGCCUACCAAGGCGACGACGGGUAGCCGGCCUGAGAGGGCGACCGGCCACACUGGGACUGAGACACGGCCCAGACUCCUACGGGAGGCAGCAGUGGGGAAUCUUGCGCAAUGGGCGAAAGCCUGACGCAGCGACGCCGCGUGAGGGAUGACGGCC
rnacentral:rRNA from 1 species